AAUGAAGCAUAAAGACCCUGAGAAAAUCCAUUAUUUAGGAGAACCCAAGCUCUGAGGAACUGAAGAGGAAAGCAGGAGCAGAGGAAAGGAGGAAGAAGCCAAGCAGUUAUUCAUCAACUACAUUAAAGUUCAGCCAUCUACCUGCCUACUGUGAUGCUGUUUGUGUCACACCAUCUGUGUCCAAGAUUAUGAACUCAUUGCGAUAGAAGUUGUGAAGACACUGACUGAUGCACCUGCAGACGAUCAUUACAGAAGGGGAAAAGCAAAUUAUCAAUGUUUAUGUGAAACAGUAUGACCCCCCAGUGGCUAACGAUGAAGAACUGCAUUUAUAGAAGAGAGUGGUCUGGAAGCACAACACGCAAACCUCAUCAGUUUUA